UCGGGAAUAUUGGACAAUGGGCGCAAGCCUGAUCCAGCCAUGCCGCGUGAACGAUGAAGGCCUUAGGGUUGUAAAGUUCUUUUGUCAGGGAAGAUAAUGACGGUACCUGAAGAAUAAGCACCGGCUAACUUCGUGCCAGCAGCCGCGGUAAUACAGAGGGUGCAAGCGUUAAUCGGAAUUACUGGGCGUAAAGCGCGUGUAGGCGGGUCGUUAAGUUGGGGGUGAAAUCCCGAGGCUCAACCUCGGAACUGCCUUCAAAACUGGCGACCUGGACCCAAGUAGAGGCAAGUGGAAUUGCGAGUGUAGAGGUGAAAUUCGUAGAUAUUCGCAGGAACACCAGUGGCGAAGGCGACUUGCUGGACUUGUGGUGACGCUGAGACGCGAAAGCGUGGGGAGCAAACAGGAUUAGAUACCCUCGUAGUCCCUGAGCGGGCUGGCAAGGCGCAU
rnacentral:rRNA from 1 species